rnacentral:rRNA from 1 species
AGCAUGCCGCGGUGAAAAACGUUUCCCGGGGUCUUGGUACACACCGCCCGUCACACCACGAUGAUGUUUNUAAACAACCCGAAGUCGGUGGGG